UUUUGGAGAUGAUCAUUCUUAUCAGAGGUUGUUUCUGGAGAGCGUCUUCCUUAGGCAUAUGGGCUGGUGCCUACCCAAAGAUCUCCUAGUGCUGCAAAAGAACUGAUUUGCCAUUCUGAUCUAAAG